AGCGAACGCUGGCGGCAGGCCUAACACAUGCAAGUCGAACGAACUCUUCGGAGUUAGUGGCGGACGGGUGAGUAACACGUGGGAACGUGCCUUUUGGUUCGGAAUAACUCAGGGAAACUUGUGCUAAUACCGAAUGUGCCCUUCGGGGGAAAGAUUUAUCGCCAUUAGAGCGGCCCUAGUCUGAUUAGCUAGUUGGUGAGGUAACGGCUCACCAAGGCGACGAUCAGUAGCUGGUCUGAGAGGAUGACCAGCCACACUGGGACUGAGACACGGCCGAGACUCCUACGGGAGGCAGCAGUGGGGAAUCUUGCGCAAUGGGCGAAAGCCUGACGCAGCCAUGCCGCGUGAAUGAUGAAGGUCUUAGGAUUGUAAAAUUCUUUCACCGGGGACGAUAAUGACGGUACCCGGAGAAGAAGCCCCGGCUAACUUCGUG
rnacentral:rRNA from 1 species